rnacentral:rRNA from 1 species
AACGAACGCUGGCGGCAUGCCUAACACAUGCAAGUCGAACGAGACCUUCGGGUCUAGUGGCGCAAGGGUGCGUAACGCGUGGGAAACUGCGUUUAGAUUCGGAAUAACACCCCGGAAGAGGUGCUAAUAACGGAUACUAAUUUCGGACAAAAGCUUUUUCGCCUUUGGAUGGGCGCGCGUUGGAUUAGCUAGUUGGUAGGGUAAAAGCCUACCAAGGCGAGGAGCCAUGUCUGGGCUGAGAGGAUGACCAGCUACACUGGGACUGAGGCACGGCCCAGACUCGUACGGGAGGCAGCAGAGUGGAAUAUUGUAGAAUGGGGCAUAGCCUAGUGCAGCAAUGCGGCGUGAGUGAUGAAGGCCUUAGGAUUGUAAAUCUCUUUUACCAGAGAUGAUAAUGACAGUACCGGGAGAAUAAGCACCGGCUAACUCCGUG